AAUAAAAUGGCUGAGUUUAAGCGGUAAAUUGUAAAUUUAUUAACGAGAAAUUUCYCUUUUAUUA
rnacentral:tRNA from 1 species